rnacentral:rRNA from 1 species
CCUACGGGUGGCAGCAGUGGGGAAUAUUGGGCAAUGGGCGCAAGCCUGACCCAGCAACGCCGCGUGAAGGAAGAAUGCUUUCGGGUUGUUAACUUCUUUUCUGAGGGACGAAGAAAGUGACGGUACCUCCGGAAUAAGCCAUGGCUAACUACGUGCCAUCAGCCGCGGUCAUACGUAGGUGGCAAGCGUUAUCCGGAUUUAUUGGGUGUAAAGGGCGUGUAGGGGGGAAAGCAAGUCCGAUGUGAAAACUCAGGGCUCAACCCUGACCCUGCAUUUGAAACUGUUUUUCUUGAGUGCUGGAGAGGCAAUCGGAAUUCCGUGUGUAGCGGUGAAAUGCGUAGAUAUACGGAGGAACACCAGUGGCGAAGGCGGAUUGCUGGACAGUAACUGACGCUGAGGCGCGAAAGCGUGGGGAGCAAACAGGAUUAGAUACCCUAGUAGUC